rnacentral:tRNA from 1 species
GCCGAGGUAGCUCAAUGGCAGAGCACGUCAUUGGUAAUGACGCGACAAGAGUUCAAUUCUCUUUCUCGGCUCCG